rnacentral:rRNA from 1 species
GCUAAGGUCCCAAAGUCAUGGUUAAGUGGGAAACGAUGUGGGAAGGCCCAGACAGCCAGGAUGUUGGCUUAGAAGCAGCCAUCAUUUAAAGAAAGCGUAAUAGCUCACUGGUCGAGUCGGCCUGCGCGGAAGAUGUAACGGGGCUAAACCAUGCACCGAAGCUGCGGCAGCGACACUAUGUGUUGUUGGGUAGGGGAGCGUUCUGUAAGCCUGUGAAGGUGUACUGUGAGGUAUGCUGGAGGUAUCAGAAGUGCGAAUGCUGACAUAAGUAACGAUAAAGCGGGUGAAAAGCCCGCUCGCCGGAAGACCAAGGGUUCCUGUCCAACGUUAAUCGGGGCAGGGUGAGUCGACCCCUAAGGCGAGGCCGAAAGGCGUAGUCGAUGGGAAACAGGUUAAUAUUCCUGUACUUGGUGUUACUGCGAAGGGGGGACGGAGAAGGCUAUGUUGGCCGGGCGACGGUUGUCCCGGUUUAAGCGUGUAGGCU